GUGCUUGCUUCGGCAGCACAUAUACUAGAACCAGAACGAUACAGAGAACAUUAGUAUGGCCCCUGUGCAAGGAUGACAUGCAAAUUCAUGAAGUGUUCCAUAACAAA
ensembl:snRNA U6 U6 spliceosomal RNA